GGUGUGGACGUAGUUCCGGGGGCAGUGGAGCCUCCUGGGGGUAAUGGGAGAAAUGAGGAACAAGAAGCAAGCAGGGAGAGGGGAUUCUGGUGUGCUGCAACUGGGCUGAACAGGGCAGGAGGUGAAUCGAAUCAAACUGGAUGCAAUCAAACUGAAUUGAAUUGAGCUGAACUUGAGGCUUCAGUUUAACCCUUGCAGGACAGCUGAGCAACCAUUCCUGUGCUCAGGCUCAGGAAGCAGAGGUUAGGGUUGACCGACUUGCCCAAAGUCACCCCGGAAAAGAGGAAGUUGGUAUACAAACCUAGGUCUGCCUAGGUUUGGAUGGAUGUUUCUCCAUUCUGUCUCAUGUAAGUAAGUUCUGAGACACAUUAGACAAUAUGCUUCUGAAGAUCUCACAGGGAUGGCCAACUCCAUUCUCAUCAGGGCCUUUCCUCCUUCCCUGUGUCAUUCUCCUUGCUCUCCACUCCUGCUCCCUGGAAGCAGUUCUGCAUAAUAAUGGUAGACAGAAUAAUGGCCCCCAAAGAUGUCCACAUCCUAAUCUGUGGAACCUGUGAAUAUGUUACCUUAAACGGCAAAAGGACUUUGCAGAUGUGAUUGAGUUCAGGAUCUUGAGAUGCAAAGCUCAUCCUUGAUUAUCUGAGUAGGCCUGAUGUAAUCGCAAGGCUCCUUAUAGGAUGGGCAGUAGGCAAGAGAGUCAGAAUCAGAGGAGGUGACAUGAGGAUGUGUGCCGUGGGAACUGAGAUUUAAAGAUGCCACACUGCUGGUCUGAAGAUGGAGAAAGGGCAUGAACCCAAGGAAAAGGCAAGGAAAUGGAUUAUUCUCUACAGUCUCCAGGAGGAAUGCAGCUCUGCCAAUACUUUGGAUUUACCCCACUGGAAACCAUUUUAAAUUUCUGACCUUUGUCUCAGUCUCUGCUUUUAGGGGUGCACACAGGCAGG
rnacentral:lncRNA from 10 species